UAGGGAAUAUUGCGCAAUGGGCGAAAGCCUGACGCAGCGACGCCGCGUGGGGGAUGAAGGCCUUCGGGUUGUAAACCCCUUUCAUGUGGGACGAAAUCUGACUUUACCACAGGAAGAAGCACCGGCUAACUCCGUGCCAGCAGCUGCGGUAAGACGGAGAGUGCGAACGUUGUUCGGAUUUACUGGGCGUAGAGGGCACGUAGGCGGCCAGGCAAAUCAGUUGUGGAAUCCCGACGCCUACCGUCGGAACGGCAAUUGAAAAUACCUGGCUCGAGGGCAUGAGGGGUCGCGGGAACUCCUGGUGGAGCGGUGAAAUGCGUAGAUAUCAGGAGGAACGCCGGAGGCGAAAGCGCGCGACUGGCAUGUCCCUGACGCUGAGGUGCGAAAGCCGGGGGAGCAAACAGG
rnacentral:rRNA from 1 species